AGAGUUUGAUCAUGGCUCAGGACGAACGCUGGCGGCGUGCCUAAUACAUGCAAGUAGAACGCUGAAGAGAGGAGCUUGCUCUUCUUGGAUGAGUUGCGAACGGGUGAGUAACGCGUAGGUAACCUGCCUUGUAGCGGGGGAUAACUAUUGGAAACGAUAGCUAAUACCGCAUAACAAUAGGUGACACAUGUCAUUUAUUUGAAAGGGGCAAUUGCUCCACUACAAGAUGGACCUGCGUUGUAUUAGCUAGUAGGUGAGGUAACGGCUCACCUAGGCGACGAUACAUAGCCGACCUGAGAGGGUGAUCGGCCACACUGGGACUGAGACACGGCCCAGACUCCUACGGGAGGCAGCAGUAGGGAAUCUUCGGCAAUGGGGGCAACCCUGACCGAGCAACGCCGCGUGAGUGAAGAAGGUUUUCGGAUCGUAAAGCUCUGUUGUAAGUCAAGAACGAGUGUGAGAGUGGAAAGUUCACACUGUGACGGUAGCUUACCAGAAAGGGACGGCUAACUACGUGCCAGCAGCCGCGGUAAUACGUAGGUCCCGAGCGUUGUCCGGAUUUAUUGGGCGUAAAGCGAGCGCAGGCGGUUUGAUAAGUCUGAAGUUAAAGGCUGUGGCGCAACCAUAGUUCGCUUUGGAAACUGUCAAACUUGAGUGCAGAAGGGGAGAGUGGAAUUCCAUGUGUAGCGGUGAAAUGCGUAGAUAUAUGGAGGAACACCGGUGGCGAAAGCGGCUCUCUGGUCUGUAACUGACGCUGAGGCUCGAAAGCGUGGGGAGCGAACAGGAUUAGAUACCCUGGUAGUCCACGCCGUAAACGAUGAGUGCUAGGUGUUGGAUCCUUUCCGGGAUUCAGUGCCGCAGCUAACGCAUUAAGCACUCCGCCUGGGGAGUACGACCGCAAGGUUGAAACUCAAAGGAAUUGACGGGGGCCCGCACAAGCGGUGGAGCAUGUGGUUUAAUUCGAAGCAACGCGAAGAACCUUACCAGGUCUUGACAUCCCGAUGCUAUUUCUAGAGAUAGAAAGUUACUUCGGUACAUCGGUGACAGGUGGUGCAUGGUUGUCGUCAGCUCGUGUCGUGAGAUGUUGGGUUAAGUCCCGCAACGAGCGCAACCCCUAUUGUUAGUUGCCAUCAUUCAGUUGGGCACUCUAGCGAGACUGCCGGUAGUAAACCGGAGGAAGGUGGGGAUGACGUCAAAUCAUCAUGCCCCUUAUGACCUGGGCUACACACGUGCUACAAUGGUUGGUACAACGAGUUGCGAGUCGGUGACGGCAAGCUAAUCUCUUAAAGCCAAUCUCAGUUCGGAUUGUAGGCUGCAACUCGCCUACAUGAAGUCGGAAUCGCUAGUAAUCGCGGAUCAGCACGCCGCGGUGAAUACGUUCCCGGGCCUUGCACACACCGCCCGUCA
rnacentral:rRNA from 1 species